ACACACCAGCAUUAGCACACUCAUCCCGUCUUCGUGAAAGGAAAAUGCAUCCGUCCGCCUUCGCCUUCGUGUUGGUAAGCCUGCUGUCGGUUUCCCUGGGUUCUGCUCAGGAAUCUGAACAUACCAAGAAGUUACUGGAAGCGCGCAAGACCCUGGAGGAGUUCACCGUGCCCGCUUUGAAGGAUAACUUGAAAAGCCGGUCCAAUGUUGAGUUCUACAUGAAGUGCGUGACUGGCAAAGGGCCCAUGCAACAAUAUUGGCACCGCUCUCAGUAACCUCCUCGCCCCUGGACCCCAGGGAACGAAGUUCUGCGGCGGCUGUACUGAAAACGAGAAGGUGCGAGUGAAGGUCGUGUUGGACACUCUGGAAGCCGAUUACAAGGACCUGGCGUGCGAGCUUCACAACUUCAGCAAGAUUCCUCUCUUCUCGCAAAAUCCCUGCGCUUGAAGCACGAGAUCGCAAGGCAUCAUCACGUGAAGGCGAGAGUAAUCACGAAUUAAUUACGAUUCAAUUCAAGGAUGACGAUGUGGCUUCAUGUGCUUGUACAGCUUGUGUAGUAAAUGUUUAUCUCGAACGGGA